UACGUAGGGUGCAAGCGUUAAUCGGAAUUACUGGGCGUAAAGCGUGCGCAGGCGGCUAUGCAAGACAGAUGUGAAAUCCCCGGGCUCAACCUGGGAACUGCAUUUGUGACUGCAUAGCGUAGAGUACGGUAGAGGGGGAUGGAAUUCCGCGUGUAGCAGUGAAAUGCGUAGAUAUGCGGAGGAACACCGAUGGCGAAGGCAAUCCC
rnacentral:rRNA from 1 species